GAAAACCUAUCAGUAAGAUGUUUCUUUUUGCUUUUCAGGAACCGUGGGGAAAGGCGAAUGGGUGCUUUUGAAUGUGUUCGUAAAGUGUAUCAGACAGAUGGACUAAAAGGAUUUUAUAGGGGCAUGUCUGCUUCAUAUGCUGGUAUAUCAGAGACUGUUAUCCAUUUUGUUAUUUAUGAAAGUAUAAAACAAAAACUACUGGAAUAUAAGACUGCUUCUACAAUGGAAAAUGAUGAAGAGUCUGUGAAAGAAGCAUCAGAUUUUGUGGGAAUGAUGCUAGCUGCUGCCACCUCAAAAACUUGUGCCACAACUAUAGCAUAUCCACAUGAAGUUGUAAGAACAAGACUACGUGAAGAGGGAACAAAAUACAGAUCUUUUUUUCAGACUUUAUCUUUGGUUGUUCAAGAAGAAGGUUAUGGGUCUCUUUACCGUGGUCUGACAACUCAUCUAGUGAGACAGAUUCCAAACACAGCCAUUAUGAUGGCCACCUAUGAAUUGGUGGUUUACCUACUCAAUGGAUAGCAGCAUGAGG
rnacentral:sRNA from 1 species